rnacentral:rRNA from 1 species
GGGUAGUAAUCUUGAAACCUAAAGAAUUUGGCGGUUUUUAANCUUACUAGAGGAACCUGUCCUGUAAUCGAUAGUCCACGAACUAAUUUACCUAUUUUUGUCAUCAGCUUAUAUACCGCCGUUUAGUGAAUUAAAUAAAUAAUUUCUCUUAAUUAAUUAGUUAAGAAAAUCAGGUCAAGGUGUAGUUAAUAAAUAGGAAGAGAUGGGUUACAAUAAUAUUUUAUAACGAAUUAUAUACCUUAGGGUUAAUAGAAGGUGGAUUUAGAAGUAAAUUUUAUUAUCUUGAAGCAAGCUCUUAAAAAUGUACACAU